ACAAGAAGCAGGUUUACAAAGGUUUAGGCUUCUAGAAUAUAUACAUAGGUAUAAAAACAAAAAGCAGAAAUUAUGACAAAUUAAAAAUAUUCAAUGAUCUACAUUCAUUUGUUAAAAGCUUUUUAGUUUGUAGUCUUGAAAAUAUUACAAACAUGUCACCAGGAGUUUUUGUCCAACAGCGAUGGCUACUGUAUCUGUUAGCUUAGCUACAGACGAAUGUUAGCCUCCAACUCACUAUCCAUUUAAUCUCUGAAAACAAAUAUUUAUAAAGAUAUUCAUAACUUUAACUUGUCACUGACUUUAAUCACAUUUACCAACAGAUGGAGUUAACCGUGACGUCAGCCUGUAGUUCGUUUUCAAAAACACUAGAUGGCGCCGCUCUUCGCACUGACUUAUAGCCAAAUAAAAAAAUCAUGUCGAAGUAGAAAGCGCAGCAGUGUUUCGUGUGCAAAUGAUUCUUCCGGUUAGAAGUCGCAGCUAAUGUUAAAAAUUAUUUUAUAAAUUUAUUUGGAGAAAUACAAUAGGAACAUAAAGUUGUACAACUGCAAAAAUGAACAAAAAAUAUCCGUGGGCUAGUCUGACCUGUCAGUGAUUAAAGCUUUUGUGAUUAUGUCGACUUGAACAUGUUAGCUUAGCUAGGUUAGCCCCGACUCCUCCUGUGAAGCAGAUGAGUCAAAGUCAGCAGCAGCCAUGACCUCUGACCCCGCAGACCAGCCUUCCUCCUCCUCGUGAAGCAGGUGACUUGUACCUGAGUCCCCCGACCGACAGGUGUCCGUAGGAGCUGCUGGCGGCUGAACUGGACCGGGAGUUGUUGAUGUACGCCACCAAGGAGUUGGGCGAAGUUCUGAUCAUGGUCUGGAGGUCGAUGC